rnacentral:rRNA from 1 species
AGCAGCCGCGGUAAUUCCAGCUCCAAUAGCGUAUAUUAAAGUUGUUGCAGUUAAAAAGCUCGUAGUUGAAUUUCGGGAUCAAUAUUUCGGGUCAUGCCGUUGGUAUGCACUGUUAUCAUUGAUUUCUCACCUUCUAAAGAACCGUAAUGCCAUUAAUUUGGUGUUACGGGGAAUUAGGACUGUUACCUUGAAAAAAUUGAGUGUUUAAAGCAGGCUCACGCUUGAAUACAUUAGCAAUGGAAUAAUGAAAUAGGACAUCCGAUUCUAUUUGUUGGUUUCUAGGAUCGAUGUAAUGAUUAAUAGGGAUAGUUGGGGCAUUAGUAUUCAAUUGUCAGAGGUGAAAUUCUUGGAUUUAUUGAAGACUAACUACUGCGAAAGCAUUUGCCAAGGAUGUUUCAUUAAUCAAGAACGAAAGUUAGGGAUCGAAGACGAUCAGAUACCAUCGUAGUCUUAACCAUAAACUAUGCGACUAGGGAUCGGAUGA